CACACGUGCUACAAUGGUCGGUACAAAGGGCAGCGAACUCGCGAGAGUAAGCAAAUCCCAGAAAGCCGAUCUUAGUCCGGAUCGCAGUCUGCAACUCGACUGCGUGAAGUCGGAAUCGCUAGUAAUCGUGGAUCAGCAUUGCCACGGUGAAUACGUUCCCGGGCCUUGUACACACCGCCCGUCACACCAUGGGAGUUGGCUGCACCAGAAGCAGGUAGUCUAACCUUCGGGAGGACGCUUGCCACGGUGUGGUUAAUGACUGGGGUGAAGUCGUAACAAGGUAGCCGUAGGGGAACCUGCGGCUGGAUCACCUCCUUU
rnacentral:rRNA from 1 species